rnacentral:SRP_RNA from 1 species
UGAUGGACUAGGUCGGGCGGUUAGGCCCCGCUCCACCCGCCCCCAGUACGGUCUUGAGGGGGGACCGAACGCCGGGGACGUCCGGUCAGACGGACCCGGGCCCCGCGAGCCAACGUCGAAGCCUCGUCCUGCGGGGACGGCGGUCCGCGCGGUCGCACCUGCAGGGGUGUGCCCGCGUGGUUAACCGGGGGCACCGCGUCAGGCGCGGAAGCGAGCAGCGCACCCCCGGACAGCCAUCGCUCGCAGGGUCGCGGGGUGGAGGAGGCAAGCGGGACUACCCGCGUCCGAACGCCGGGCAACCCCGGUCGUCCACAU